GGGUGAUGCCAUUCUCCAGGGGCACAGAGUUCCCCGCCUCCACAGCCCUCCCAUCAGAGGGCACCUCCAGGCCCAGCUCACCCCCAGUGCCCAGAUCCUCAGGCCUCGAGGCUUGUCCACUGGAAGACAUGACAUUGAGGGGAGACGAGCACCAGCGUUUUGGAGCCCUCCUCAGGUUCCAGGUCCCCGUCAGCCAUGGAGGCCCGACCCCUGGACUCCUUUUGAUCGUCAGCCAGCAGUGUGGAUGGGGCGCCCUCUUGGCUGCGACGGAAAGACCUGACCACCUUAUCAGACUUCAGGUACUGUGCUUUCUCCAGCUCCACCUUCAUCAAUCCAGACACAUCGCAGUCACCCACAAUGCACCGGGCCUCAUAGGGCUGACAUGGCUUUGUUCCAAGUGGGAUGAUAAUGAUGAUAUCAGCACUUGGUUAGCCUUUUUGAAUAC